CCCUGGGCCGCCGAAGCGGAGUGCACAAACUUAACCAUUCAGUCAUGGGGCCGGCCCCAACAUAUGCAUUUUCCAUCCGUGCCUAGUCAGUCUCCCACUUGGUGGCCUGGCAGGAAGAGGCCCGUGUGGGCCACAAGGUGACCUUCGGGGCACCACAGAGGCCAAAUGUCUCCAGGAGGACAAUGCCAGGGGCAGGGAAGAUCCACAGACAUGGCUCACUUCUUUGCUCUGGUUUCCACGUGAGCCCAGAGCCCUGGAAUACACACCCCAGGUGUGAGUUUCCCAUCUUUGAAAUGGGGAAGGUAUUAGAUCAGGGCCGGAAGGACUAGCCCAAACGCCGACUCCCUGCUCCCAUUUUGCAGAAACCGGGCCUCCAAAGGUUAGGAGAUUUGCCAGAGGGUGCAGAUGAUUAAACAACUUAUGAGGAAUAAACUAAUAAUAAAAGGACCUUCUUGGAUUCUAACAAGGACUCCGUGACCACCUCUGCCUUCUAGGAGGUCAGGCUCCAUUUCCUGAUGCUCUGGCUGGUUGCCGGCAGCACACCAGCCUGCCCACCCGCUCUUAGGAGCCACAUCCCAAAGGAGCUUUUGACCUGUGGGUCCCCAGGAAAAGGCAUUACCGCCUGUAGAGGAGAAGCAGCCCAGGAGCGGCCCUCCACAAAGCAACACUCUGCAGGCGUUUUUUUUGGAGGGGAAGGGGGGGUCCCCCUGAACAUCCCUUCAGAGACUUGGCCCAAGCCCCUGCCAGUAGGUGUGAGCAAAAGGGUCAACAGAGGACCACCAAACGCCAGGCUACUGAGAUUCCCAAAGAUGCCAAGAUACCAAACUACAAUAGGACAACAGAACGCUCGGCUUCGUUCGGAUAUGGCAUGGCUGUUCCCAACAGGCUGGAAUGCACAGGUUUGACAUAAUUCUUCAUCCAGCCAACCACCAGAGGCCAUGGCACUAGGACGAGUGUCUGAGCCAUCACGCCCUGAAGACGCUUCCAAGUAGGUCUCUCAUUCCAGUUCACUGGAAACAACGAACACCGGAGGGUCUCCUCCAUUGGAGGCCUCUGAUUCGGGGACUUGGUUGAGGCUGGAAAUGUUCCUCAUGGAAACGCCAGCAUCUUGGGAGGUGUCAGGAGAAGUGCCCCAGCUGACCCUAGGUGCUAAAAUUGUAGAUUCCCAACUCUGAAAAGCACAUCCAUUGGGGACAAAAGGAACUGUGUGCCUAGGGAGCUUUGUGACCGGGGGUCACACCUCAGGGGCUGAUCCAGUGCCCAUAUGCUACAGAUGAGGAACUAGAGGCUCGGAGAGGGUAAGGGACCUACCCAAGGUCACACAGCACAUCAGUCCUCCCUGCGCCCCCAUCGUGGCCCUUUGCAUCUCCCACCACUCUGCAAUGUGCCUUCAUCUCAACAUUUGGUGCCUCCGGUUUAUAAAAACCAAGAUCCCCCGACCCUCCUCCCAGUCCUUCGCUGGGACAAAGCAAGAAUAAAUGAUUUACUUACAAUGCUAGUUUCUAGGCACUGAAGAGACAAGAGCAAAAAAUUCACUUAAUAUUUUGGCUCAUGGCCAUGCAAAGAUAGGGCCUUAGUUAAGUAUCUUUUGCCUUUACAAAUUCACCAGCUCAGAAAAGCUGUGGUUUAAGCACAAACCAGCAAAUACCCCUCCAAGUAGCGGUGGAAGACAGAGUGGAAAGCUGGAGACUUGCCCCCACUCCAUAUUCUAACCUAGCAUUUACUGAGUGCUUUAUUCUCCUGCUAAGUACUUUAGAAAUGUUAGUUCAUUUAAUCCUCACAACUUUCUGGGAAUGGAAGACUCAGGAGAGAAUAGCAAUAGUAACAAUGUUACUAUUUGAUAAAUUCUUAAUCAGCACCAGCAGAAAUUCACACAGCUGCUUCUUUCUCUUUCAGGGCUGGACCCCCACUGUCCAAUACAACAGCCACCAGCCACACGAGGCUUUUUAAAUUUAAAUUAAAAAUUCAGUUCUUCAGUCACACUAGCCACAUUUCAAUUUCAAUGGUUACAGGUGACUAGUGGUUACUGUAUUGGACUGCACAGUUCUAGAACAUUCUUUUCCAUAAUAUUCCAUUAUGGCAGAAGGUUCUGCUGGCCUCUUCUGGUCUAGCCUGAAAGUUGCCUCUUCCAAGGGCUCUUUACUGCCCUGACCACGUCUUUCUAAAAUAGAUCCCCUCAGGUAUUCCGUCUCCUGUACCCUGUUUCCUUCCUGGCACUGGACGCUCUUGAACACCAUCCUCUCGGUUUACCUGUUUAUUUGCACACUUCCAUCUCCCUGGUAGGACCAUCUGUCUUGUUUCCUGCUGGAGCUAUUGUGAUACACGCAUCUCACCCUCCCUCCUACUUUGAUACCACUUAGCGACCUCCCAUUGGGCAACCACUUCUAACAUCAUCUCUGAUGUCCACCAAUUUGGGUGAAUUGGUUCAACGGACUGCUUUUCCCUAACCCCUGCUUAACCAGGGUUAAAAUCAAGCUCACCGGGAACACCGUGCCUAUGAAAGAACCCAUUUCCUCGGACAAGUUUUUCCCAUUUUGGUAAAGUGAGUACAAGAGGUGCUUCAAAGAACAGCCGAUAUAAUGGGAUUGUUGCUUCUGUCAACAUCAUCUUCAUCACUAUCAUCAUCAUCAUCAUUGUAUUCUUAGCAUAAUCAUCAUCAUGGUCCUGGAAGGAGGAAGGGCACCUUGGCUUCUUUUCUCCACGGCGCUAACACACGUGACGUGGGGUAUGCUCACAACUAGAACAAAGGCUCAACAAGACCAAGGGUCUAGAACAGUGCCUGGUAUAGAGAGAGCUUCAUGAUGGACAAAAAUUCAGCCUGUCAAAUAAAGGAAUUCAGAUAUUCUGAUUUCGAACCCAUGUCUCACCACGCUAACUCUGUCCUUUUAAUGAGUACAUCAUUCUUAUUUGAAGGAAAUGUUGUUAAAAAGCAAACAAACAAAAAUGCGACUUGAACGCACUGAAAUUUUGGAACCAAUUUUGCCACAGUUAUAUGCUGGAAGCAUUAAAAAAGCAGAAUCAUAAAGCUCAAGCAUGUCAAUUUAGUAUCUAAAAGGCUUUUUCUUUUUUGAUUGCAACACAAUGUUCUUAAAAGAAAUGGAAAGGUUCUCAAGAUUUCCCAGAAUUACAUGACCCAAGUACUUCUUUGCACAUUUUGAGCAACAGAAUUUGCUGAAAUGUGGUCAAGGGUAUUUUCUAAGUAAUACACAGGGUCAGAAGGUUUUUCUUUUAAGGUCAUCAAGUCUCUUUUGAAAGAAAAGUCAGUCAAAGGUGGUUCAACAUCAAUCAAGGUAACAAACCACACCAACAGAACAAAGUAAGAAACCAUACAGUCACCUCAAUUGACACAGAAAAAGCACCUGACAAAACUCAACAGCCUUUCGUGAUAAAAAGUCCAGAAAACCAGGAAUAGGUAGAAACUUCUACAUAAUAAUGCACAUUUAUGAAAAACCCACAGCUAAUCUAUACUCAGUAGUGAAAGGCUGAAUGCUUUCCCCCUAAGAUCAGAGUAAGACAAGGGUGCCCACUUUCACCACUGCUAUUCAACAUU